GAGCAGAGCUCUUAGGCUCCUCUUCUUCAACUAAAUUCAAAGACAGAUCUUUCUUUUGAAUUCCGAAAAUCCCAUCACUCCCAUCAUGAGGCCUCUUAGUUCCCCUGUUUUCUACCUGAUGAAUACUCCAUGGCUUUCCGUUUUGGUCCAUUGAAUGGCUCAAAAACUGAAACCCCGUUUGAGGAUUUUUGGUUUCCGUCUCUCUAGGCUUACCCAUUACCCCAAAUCUAGCGAGAUACAGUUGAGAAGCGGCAGGUGGAGGCAGAAAGUUCAUGUUUUGACACCCACUGAAACUAUUAUUGUCACUCCUUAGGUGUUGUACACUCAUUUUGACCAAAAGAAACCAGCUAUAAAACCAGACAGGAAGAUGAAAUAAAACAGAAGUUGAAAACCCCCAAAGCUGUCUCCUUUCUAUAUAAUGCCUCAGAAGCAGAGUGAAAGACAGAUUUUUGAGAUGCAACAAAGGG
rnacentral:misc_RNA from 1 species